rnacentral:rRNA from 1 species
UCCGUAGGCGGGCGUCUAAGUCAGUGGUGAAAUCUUACAGCUCAACUGUAAAAUUGCCAUUGAUACUGGAUGUCUUGAAUUAGUGUGAAGUGGUUAGAAUGUGUAGUGUAGCGGUGAAAUGCAUAGAUAUUACAUAGAAUACCAAUUGCGAAGGCAGAUCACUAACACUAUAUUGACGCUGAGGGACGAAAGCGUGGGGAGCGAACAGGAUUAGAUACCCUGGUAGUCC